rnacentral:misc_RNA from 1 species
GAUGAAGAACGUAGCGAAAUGCGAUAAGUAAUGUGAAUUGCAGAAUUCAGUGAAUCAUCGAAUCUUUGAACGCACCUUGCACCCUUUGGCAUUCCGAAGGGUAUGCUCGUUUGAGUGUCAUUGUACUCUCACACUUCCGAUCUUUGGAUUGGGAGCGGUGGACUUGGGUGUUGCUGCUUACUGUGGCUCACCUCAAAUCGAUUCGUGCACCUCUUGGUUGGACAUAGUACGGCGUGAUAAGUGUCUUCGCCGGCACCUCAGUAGAGGGUGGCUGAUCGGGAGCUCUGUGCUUCAAACCGUCCUCGGACAACAACUGACAACUUGACCUCAAAUCGAGUAGGACUACCCGCUGAACUUAAGCAUAUCAAUAAGCGGAGGA